rnacentral:rRNA from 1 species
AUAAUGGGUCAGCGACUUAUAUUCUGUAGCAAGGUUAACCGAAUAGGGGAGCCGAAGGGAAACCGAGUCUUAACUGGGCGUUAAGUUGCAGGGUAUAGACCCGAAACCCGGUGAUCUAGCCAUGGGCAGGUUGAAGGUUGGGUAACACUAACUGGAGGACCGAACCGACUAAUGUUGAAAAAUUAGCGGAUGACUUGUGGCUGGGGGUGAAAGGCCAAUCAAACCGGGAGAUAGCUGGUUCUCCCCGAAAGCUAUUUAGGUAGCGCCUCGUGAAUUCAUCUCCGGGGGUAGAGCACUGUUUCGGCAAGGGGGUCAUCCCGACUUACCAACCCGAUGCAAACUGCGAAUACCGGAGAAUGUUAUCACGGGAGACACACGGCGGGUGCUAACGUCCGUCGUGAAGAGGGAAACAACCCAGACCGCCAGCUAAGGUCCCAAAGUCAUGGUUAAGUGGGAAACGAUGUGGGAAGGCCCAGACAGCCAGGAUGUUGGCUUAGAAGCAGCCAUCAUUUAAAGAAAGCGUAAUAGCUCACUGGUCGAGUCGGCCUGCGCGGAAGAUGUAACGGGGCUAAACCAUGCACCGAAGCUGCGGCAGCGACGCUGAUGCGUUGUUGGGUAGGGGAGCGUUCUGUAAGCCUGCGAAGGUGUGCUGUGAGGCAUGCUGGAGGUAUCAGAAGUGCGAAUGCUGACAUAAGUAACGAUAAAGCGGGUGAAAAGCCCGCUCGCCGGAAGACCAAGGGUUCCUGUCCAACGUU